UGGCUCAGUUGGUAGAGCAUGGUGUUUGCAACGCCAGCAUGGUGUGUGCAACACCAGGGUUGUGGGUUCGAUUCCCAC
rfam:Salmo salar isolate Sally breed double haploid chromosome ssa21, whole genome shotgun sequence.